rnacentral:rRNA from 1 species
AAAUUUAAAGAAUUUGGCGGUGUUUUAGUCUAGUUAGAGGAACCUGUCUUAUAAACGAUAUAGCACGAAUUAUCUUACUUGUUUUAGUAAUUCAGUUUGUAUACCGUCAUUAUAAGAUAAUUUAGGAGAGAAUAUUAUUGAAAUCACAUUAUUGAGUAUAUUAGAUCAAGGUGCAGCUUAUAGAUAAGUAAAUAUGGGUUACAAUAAAAUUUAUUUAAUACGAAUUAAAUAUUUAAAUGUAUUUAUGAAGGAGGAUUUAAUUGUAAGGAAGAAAAUAGUAAGAUUUUCUGAUAAAAGCUCUAAAUUAU